rnacentral:lncRNA from 1 species
CUCAACUGUGUGCAUGACUCUCUGCCUUAGUUUCGCCCUUUAUCUCUGCAGAAUCUAGUCAUAGAAUGUAUUUUGUAUCUUUUCUGUGCUCCUCUUAAUUGAAUGAGCAAAAUCGUACUGGAUCUGUAAGUUUGUGAGCUUAGGGAAACGAGUUGAACCAGAUCAGCUACGCUAGUGGUCGAACUUCUGCUAACUCACCUUCACUCUCUGGCAGAUAUUAUGUCUAAAUUUCUGUAGUGGUCGAACUUCUGCUAACUCACCUUCACUCUCUGGCAGGUAUUACUUCUAAAUUUCUGUCUGUAUGUUGUUUUGUCCUUUUACGGCUGCUUAUUUACCUAUUGAUCAGUGUUUGCUUUCUAGAGCAUGUUGUUGGUUUAGACGAAAAUUUUUGGUUUAAAUUCUGUGAAAAUCAUGCUAGCUAUCUGCUAAGUUCUGAAGGAUAU